rnacentral:rRNA from 1 species
UACGUAGGGGGCAAGCGUUGUCCGGAAUCAUUGGGCGUAAAGAGCGUGUAGGCGGCCUGGUAAGUCCGCUGUGAAAGUCCAGGGCUCAACCCUGGAAUGCCGGUGGAAACUGUCAGGCUCGAGUCCGGAAGAGGCGAGUGGAAUUCCUGGUGUAGCGGUGAAAUGCGCAGAUAUCAAGGAGGAACACCAAUGGCGAAGGCAGCUCGCUGGGACGGUACUGACGCUGAGACGCGAAAGCGUGGGAG